rnacentral:rRNA from 1 species
AUCUGCAGUCGAGCGACUGAUUAGAAGCUUGCUUCUAUGACGUUAGCGGCGGACGGGUGAGUAACACGUGGGCAACCUGCCUGUAAGACUGGGAUAACUUCGGGAAACCGAAGCUAAUACCGGAUAGGAUCUUCUCCUUCAUGGGAGAUGAUUGAAAGAUGGUUUCGGCUAUCACUUACAGAUGGGCCCGCGGUGCAUUAGCUAGUUGGUGAGGUAACGGCUCACCAAGGCAACCAUGCAUAGCCCGACCUGAGAGGGUGAUCGGCCACACUGGGACUGAGACACGGCCCAGACUCCCUACGGGAGGCAGCAGUAGGGAAUCUUCCGCAAUGGACGAAAGUCUGACGGAGCAACGCCGCGUGAGUGAUGAAGGCUUUCGGGUCGUAAAACUCUGUUGUUAGGGAAGAACAAGUACAAGAGUAACUGCUUGUACCUUGACGGUACCUAACCAGAAAGCCACGGCUAACUACGUGCCAGCAGCCGCGGUAAUACGUAGGUGGCAAGCGUUAUCCGGAAUUAUUGGGCGUAAAGCGCGCGCAGGCGGUUUCUUAAGUCUGAUGUGAAAGCCCACGGCUCAACCGUGGAGGGUCAUUGGAAACUGGGGAACUUGAGUGCAGAAGAGAAAAGCGGAAUUCCACGUGUAGCGGUGAAAUGCGUAGAGAUGUGGAGGAACACCAGUGGCGAAGGCGGCUUUUUGGUCUGUAACUGACGCUGAGGCGCGAAAGCGUGGGGAGCAAACAGGAUUAGAUACCCUGGUAGUCCACGCCGUAAACGAUGAGUGCUAAGUGUUAGAGGGUUUCCGCCCUUUAGUGCUGCAGCUAACGCAUUAAGCACUCCGCCUGGGGAGUAC